rnacentral:piRNA from 1 species
UGAAUCUAACGUAAUGACUUGGGUUAACAA